AUUGAACGCUGGCGGCAGGCCUAACACAUGCAAGUCGAAUGGUAACAGGAAACAGCUUGCUGUUUCGCUGACGAGUGGCGGCCGGGUGAGUAAUGUCUGGGAAACUGCCUGAUGGAGGGGGAUAACUACUGGAAACGGUAGCUAAUACCGCAUAACGUCGCAAGACCAAAGAGGGGGACCUUCGGGCCUCUUGCCAUCAGAUGUGCCCAGAUGGGAUUAGCUAGUAGGUGGGGUAACGGCUCACCUAGGCGACGAUCCCUAGCUGGUCUGAGAGGAUGACCAGCCACACUGGAACUGAGACACGGUCCAGACUCCUACGGGAGGCAGCAGUGGGGAAUAUUGCACAAUGGGCGCAAGCCUGAUGCAGCCAUGCCGCGUGUAUGAAGAAGGCCUUCGGGUUGUAAAGUACUUUCAGCGGGGAGGAAGGGAGUAAAGUUAAUACCUUUGCUCAUUGACGUUACCCGCAGAAGAAGCACCGGCUAACUCCGUG
rnacentral:rRNA from 1 species